rnacentral:lncRNA from 1 species
CAUUACCUUAUCUUACCUUACCUUACAUUACCUUAUUUUACAUUACCUUACAUUACAUUCUCUUACCUUACAUUAUCUUACCUUACAUUAUCUUACAUUACCUUACCUUACAUUACCUUACAUUACAUUACCUUACAUAACCUUAUUUUACAUUACCUUACCUUACAUUACCUUACAUUACAUUCCCUUAUCUUACAUUACCUUACCUUACAUUACCCUACCUUACAUUACCUUACAUUAUCUUACCUUACAUUAUCUUACCUUACAUUAUCUUACAUUACCUUACCUUACAUUACCUUACAUUACAUUCCCUUAUCUUACAUUACCUUACCUUACAUUACCUUACAUUAUCUUACCAUACAUUACAUUACCCUACCUUACAUUACCCUACCUUACAUUACCCUACCUUACAUUACCUUACCAUACAUUACCUUAUUUUACAUUACCUUACAUUACAUUCUCUUAUCUUACAUUACCUUACCUUACAUUACCUUGCAUUACAUUCCCUUAUCUUACAUUACCUUACCUUACAUUACCUUACAUUAUCUUACCUUACAUUACUUACCUUACAUUACCUUACAUUACAUUCCCUUACCUUACAUUCCCUUAUCUUACAUUACCUUACCUUACAUUACCUUACCUUACAUUACCCUUACAUUACCUUAUCUUACAUUACCUUACAUUCCCAUACCUUACAUUACCUUACAUUUCCUUACAUUAUAUUCAUUUACAUUACAUUACCCUUACAUUACCUUACCUUACAUUACCUUAUUUUACAUUGCAUUAUAUUACAUUCCCUUAUCUUACACUACCUUACAUUACCUUACCUUACAUUACCUUACAUUACCUUACCUUACCUUACAUUACCCUUACCUUACAUUACCCUUACAUUACAUUACCUUAUUUUACAUUACCUUACAUUACAUUCCCUUAUCUUACAUUACCUUACAUUACAGUCCCUUAUCUUACAUUACCUUACAUUACAUUACAUUGCCUUACAUUACCUUACAUUACAUUACCUUAUAUUACAUUACCUUAUUUUACAUUACCUUACAUUACCUUACCUUACAUUACCUUACCUUACAUUACCUUAUUUUACCUUACCUUACCUUAUAUUCCCUUACAUUACAUUACCCUUACCUUACCUUACCUUAUUUUACAUUCCCUUAUCUUACAUUACCCUACAUUACCCUACAUUACCCUACCUUACAUUACAUUACAUUCCCUUAUUUUACGUUACCUUACAUUACAUUACAUUGCCUUACAUUACCUUACCUUACAUUAUCUUACAUUUCAUUACCUUACCUUACAAUCUAGGAGUAUAGUACCCACUGCACACACUUUGGGGGAGUCAUGAGGAAGAGACUGUAACCUCUCCUGUGUACAAGAUCAAGUCACAGUCUCACCUACUACUGGCUGUUUACCCUUGUUUAAUUCUCAGUAUGUUUCUUGCUUAAGUAUUAUGACCCAAACAGAAA